rnacentral:misc_RNA from 1 species
UCUCCGUAGGUGCACCUGCGGAGGGAUCAUUACUGCGUGAGGGCUUCGGUCCGACCUCCAACCCUUUGUGAACCAAACUUGUUGCUUCGGGGGCGACCCUGCCGCGUCGACGGCGAGCGCCCCCGGAGGCCUUCAAACACUGCAUCUUUGCGUCGGAGUUUAAGUAAAUUAAACAAAACUUUCAACAACGGAUCUCUUGGUUCCAGCAUCGAUGAAGAACGCAGC